CAUUCCCUUCUCCAAACUGCCAAACUGUUUUUUCCUUCUCCUUUGCUUGCUUUCCACGCUUCCCCCACCACCACCACCACUCCUCCCCAUAAGUUGUCCUUGCUGGGGGAGGAAAGGGGCCUCCAGCAACCUAGGAAGGAACACAGCAGCCUGGGAAGGAUCUGGGGAUCAGAAAUUGCCAACCCAGGAGGACGGCUGAACAAGUAAUUAUUAUUUUUUUCCUUCCAACCCCGAAGCUUAAGGAAAAAGAACAUCUCGCGUGCCUGAUUUCAACCAGGUGGCAGACUGGUAAAAACAAAACAAAACAAAACAAAACAAACAAAAA